rnacentral:rRNA from 1 species
GACGAACGCUGGCGGCGUGCUUAACACAUGCAAGUCGAACGGAAAGGCCCUGCUUUUGUGGGGUGCUCGAGUGGCGAACGGGUGAGUAACACGUGAGUAACCUGCCCUUGACUUUGGGAUAACUUCAGGAAACUGGGGCUAAUACCGGAUAGGAGCUCCUGCUGCAUGGUGGGGGUUGGAAAGUUUCGGCGGUUGGGGAUGGACUCGCGGCUUAUCAGCUUGUUGGUGGGGUAGUGGCUUACCAAGGCUUUGACGGGUAGCCGGCCUGAGAGGGUGACCGGCCACAUUGGGACUGAGAUACGGCCCAGAAUCCUACGGGAGGCAGCAGUGGGGAAUAUUGCACAAUGGGCGGAAGCCUGAUGCAGCAACGCCGCGUGCGGGAUGACGGCCUUCGGGGUGUAAACCGCUUUCGCCUGUGACGAAGCGUGAGUGACGGUAAUGGGUAAAGAAGCACCGGCUAACUACGUG